AGCAUGUUAGCUCAGGGGAAGAGCGGUAAUUUUUCACGUGACCUCCAAUUAAUUCGAGUUAUAAACUAACAUAAUCACAGCCGGGCUCAUAACCCGGAGGUCCCUGGAUCGAAACCAGGACAUGCUA
rnacentral:tRNA from 2 species